rnacentral:tRNA from 1 species
GAGGCCUUAGCUUAAUUAAAGUGUUUGAUUUGCAUUCAUUUGAUGUGUAUUAGUGUUACACAGGUCUUA